rnacentral:rRNA from 1 species
CCUACGGGUGGCAGCAGUGGGGAAUAUUGGACAAUGGGCGAAAGCCUGAUCCAGCCAUGCCGCGUGUGUGAAGAAGGCCUUCGGGUUGUAAAGCACUUUCAGUGGGGAAGAAAGCCUUGGGGCUAAUACCCUCGAGGAAGGACAUCACCCACAGAAGAAGCACCGGCUAACUCCGUGCCAGCAGCCGCGGUAAUACGGAGGGUGCGAGCGUUAAUCGGAAUUACUGGGCGUAAAGCGCGCGUAGGCGGUCUGAUAAGCCGGUUGUGAGAGCCCCGGGCUCAACCUGGGAACGGCAUCCGGAACUGUCAGGCUAGAGUGCAGGAGAGGAAGGUAGAAUUCCCGGUGUAGCGGUGAAAUGCGUAGAGAUCGGGAGGAAUACCAGUGGCGAAGGCGGCCUUCUGGACUGACACUGACGCUGAGGUGCGAAAGCGUGGGUAGCAAACAGGAUUAGAUACCCUUGUAGUC